rnacentral:tRNA from 1 species
GCAGCAGUGGUUCAAAGGUAGAGUUCUGGCCUUCCAUACAGGAGACCUGGGUUUGAUUCCCAGCAAAUGUA